rnacentral:rRNA from 1 species
GACGAACCGUGCGAACGUUGUUCGGAAUCACUGGGCGUAAAGGGUGCGUAGGCGGGUCUUUAAGUCAGGGGUGAAAUCCUGGAGCUCAACUCCAGAACUGCCCUUGAUACUGAAGGUCUUGAGUUCGGGAGAGGUGAGUGGAACUGCGAGUGUAGAGGUGAAAUUCGUAGAUAUUCGGAAGAACACCAGUGGCGAAGGCGGCUCACUGGCCCGGUACUGACGCUGAGGUGCGAAAGCGUGGGGAGCAAACAGG